rfam:Bacillus sp. FJAT-21945 super1, whole genome shotgun sequence.
AGGAGCCGUGUGCAUUAAUAGUGCAAGCACGGUUCUGUGAGGGGAUGGAGUACAAUUUACCGUAAGGUAGAAAGGCUCUAUUCUACUCGAC